UUUGGGAAUUUUUUGGGGUGGUUGAGUUCAGCAGAAAAACGAAAUACCAUCAUGGAAGUGUGGUGCUUGACAUGUGCGGGCUGUGCAAGAAUGCACCAACGUUAAGGCCUUAAGCGAGGUAAGUAAGCACGGAGGUCGUGUUUCAAGCGCAAGCACAGAGGCAAUUCCACAAGGCUACCAUAUCGUCGUCAGGACACGACUAAGGUUCAUUUCUUCAGGUAUACCCUACCCGCAAUCAGAAAUAGAUGCAGGAACCAACAACCAGGAGGACUACCUGGCAGGCCAGAGAUUUGCACUCCAUCAGCUGUCCAACUCAAAACCCACAGCAUCGCGGCAACAAGGGCACAGGUGCACCGCCCGACACUUGCAGGUCAGGCAACAGGUUCAAGCGACAAAAAGGUGCCUUCCUACUCUGCAUGGACCUGUCAUGACCUUAGCCACUGUGAGCAAGACUCACCCAACUAUUGUGUCUGCCACACCUCCUCAUAGCACUUCUGCUGCCACCAUCGUCUGCCUCUCUCCUCCACCACUGCUGACCACAGCCUGAUCUGAGGUGCCCCGAUCGGUAUGUCGGUAUGUCCUGACCUUCAGAAUCCUUUCCCUGGAAGUUUAUUAAAAAAGUAUGCCAGUGAAAACGAAGUACACACUGUCCAUAGGUUGAAAAAACAUCAGCAAACUUCUAUUCAGUUACAUGCAAAUUAAAGGGAUUAACAUAUCAAGAAAAAAAUAUAAAACUAAAUAUAUCCAAACACGAAAGACCUCAAGAAUUUACAUGUUGACCAACGUCGAUGACAUGGACUGUUCGUGAAAGAGCUCGAUGAGGCUAGGCACCCAUCAUUCUUCUCAUCCCAUGGAUGAAAUCAUUCCUUCUCUGUUAUCACAGACCAAAUGCAACCCGUUAUUCUCAAGAAAGUACUUGAGGUAUAAACCAUUCAAUCAUAUAGACCGACAAACAAGUAACAAUUAUAUCAUACCAGCUUCCUGGUAGCUAAAAGUAAAAUGCCAGAAUCUUAAAUCACUUAAAUGACCCAUUGUUGGAGACUCAUGUUGUGGAAUUACUCCCCAUUGGUAACCCAAGUGCCCAAGUGGUCCAACAAGCUGUCACUAUGGUCUGCAAAUAAUGGCCCAGGAUCUCCACGAACCCCCUCCAGAUUUCUCUACUCCAU
rnacentral:lncRNA from 1 species